rnacentral:rRNA from 1 species
CUAUNAUGCAGUCGAGCGGAUCUUCAUUAGCUUGCUUUUGAAGAUCAGCGGCGGACGGGUGAGUAACACGUGGGCAACCUGCCUGUAAGACUGGGAUAACUUCGGGAAACCGGAGCUAAUACCGGAUAAUCCUUUCCCUCUCAUGAGGGAAAGCUGAAAGACGGUUUCGGCUGUCACUUACAGAUGGGCCCGCGGCGCAUUAGCUAGUUGGUGAGGUAAUGGCUCACCAAGGCGACGAUGCGUAGCCGACCUGAGAGGGUGAUCGGCCACACUGGGACUGANACACGGCCCANACUCCUACGGGAGGCAGCAGUAGGGAAUCUUCCGCAAUGGACGAAAGUCUGACGGAGCAACGCCGCGUGAGCGAUGAAGGCUUUCGGGUCGUAAAGCUCUGUUGUCAGGGAAGAACAAGUACCGGAGUAACUGCCGGUACCUUGACGGUACCUGACCAGAAAGCCACGGCUAACUACGUGCCAGCAGCCGCGGUAAUACGUAGGUGGCAAGCGUUGUCCGGAAUUAUUGGGCGUAAAGCGCGCGCAGGCGGUUCCUUAAGUCUGAUGUGAAAGCCCCCGGCUCAACCGGGGAGGGUCAUUGGAAACUGGGGAACUUGAGUGCANAANAGGAGAGCGGAAUUCCACGUGUAGCGGUGAAAUGCGUAGAGAUGUGGAGGAACACCAGUGGCGAAGGCGGCUCUCUGGUCUGUAACUGACGCUGAGGCGCGAAAGCGUGGGGAGCGAACAGGAUUAGAUACCCUGGUAGUCCACGCCGUAAACNAUGAGUGCUAAGUGUUAGAGGGUUUCCGCCCCUUUAGUGCUGCAGCAAACGCAUUAAGCACUCCGCCU